GACAUUGGACACUCUGUUUGACAAUUCAGCAGCACACAUACUUGUAUAGCUCAUCAUUAGAAGCAUUCAAGAUUUAGGCAUUUUAUAGAUUGUUUCUAGAAUAUUUGUAUACAUAUUUUUCUUGAUAUUGUUUUGACUAUGUUAUGUGUCAAGAAUAAAUGAGCUAUUAGCAGGUUUUGUGUACGUGUAUUGGUAAACCUAUUAACAGUGAUAAGUGGCAAUGCCAACUAUGGAAAAUACUGAAUUUCAACAUGCUAAGUGCUGUGAAUCAAAAAGGUAAAAAGUAAUAGAAAAGUUCAAAUCCCGCCUCCUGAUGGUGCACACUGUCAUUGUGUCCUUGGGCAAGACACUUCACCCACCUUGCCUCCAGUGUCUGCGUACAUUGGUGAGUGAAUGAGAGAGUGAAUGGGUGGGUGGUUCCUUGCUGUAAAGCGCUUUGUGCUUAAUGUAGGUGAAAAAGCGCUAUAUAAGUUGUGACCAUUUACCAUUUAUAUAUAAUUUUGCCUUGGAAUCAGUUUACCAUAAAGAAUAGUGUGAUAAGAUGCAAGUUUGCCAGUUUGUGUAAAUGGGGGAAUGAGGCCAUAGUAUGCAGGGUCAGCACAAAGAGUACAGCUGAUUUUCUAACCCUUAUCAAAAAGCCUCUGCUGUACUCGUUAUCAAUUAAAUGAUAAAUGAUCCACUUCCUUGUUCGAUAGCACAGACACUUGAAAAUCUCACAGGCUGCCCUGAGAGGCACGAGGUAACAUCUGAGGUAUUCUUCGUUGUUCUGUUUCUGAUUUUGUCAAGAAUCCAGGAGUAACCCUUUCGUUUGAAGGUGAGAGAAAUGUUAUGUGGAUAUGCUGUGUUAUGUGUAGGAUAUUUGUAAUUAUUUGUCAUAAUCUGCUUUUGUUUUAGAUGGACAUUUUGACCAAUCUGUUGUGGACUUUGCAUUUUCUUACUAUUGUGUACAAAGUCAAAGGUUAUGCCAAUGGCGAUUUACAAAAGUCGUGUGAGACAAUGCUUGUUAAUCAUAAUUUUGGUGGAAUGUUACCCCCCCAAACUUCUCCCAUGCCAUUUGAGGUUGAGCAUGUCAUCACUGGUCCUGUAAUCACAGUGACACUGAGAAGCAAAGGUGCAGCAUUUAGAGGCUUUAUGCUGGAGGCUCGGAAUAGCUGGGGGAGCAUUGUUGGUAAAUUUCUCAUCCUAGAACCAACACAAACCCGGCUUUUAAAUUGUAAUGGUUCAACGGUAAGUGCAUUGGUUAAAGUGUUUGUGUUUAAUUAA
rnacentral:lncRNA from 1 species